GGGGGUGAAUUGGUUUUGACAGCGGGCAGAAGAGGUGUGUAAGCAUGUCGAGCUUUGUUUAUUGGCUCGUUAAUCUCAAUGAUCAAAUUUUUAAUUGGCAAUGAAAAUUUCGCUCUUGCUGCUUAACUGAAUUACAGUAGGUUUAAGCUUUAUCCUGGCACUAGGUGCCGGGACGAGACAUCAUCCGGAUGCCCUUGUUCUGAGGCGGUUCGAUUAGAUGGUGCAAAAAUAUCAGAACUGGCGUAUUAGCUGCUUCGACCUGUACGUGAGAAAACAGAAGAUAAGAUAACGUUUGGUGGCUUUGAUCCGGCCGUUAUUCGAAAAUCAAGUCAGAGCUACACAUGUAGAAAGCAUAUUGCUUCCUCGUUUGGACCCGGGUUCGAGUCCCGGCACCUCCACUA
rnacentral:tmRNA from 1 species